GUGAGGAAUAUUGGUCAAUGGGCGGGAGCCUGAACCAGCCAAGUCGCGUGAAGGAAGAAGGAUCUAUGGUUCGUAAACUUCUUUUGCAGGGGAAUAAAGUGCAGGACGUGUCCUGUUUUGUAUGUACCCUGAGAAUAAGGAUCGUCUAACUCCGUGCCAGCAUCCGCGGUAAUACGGAGGAUCCGAGCGUUAUCCGGAUUUAUUGGGUUUAAAGGGUGCGUAGGUGGUUUGAUAAGUCAGCGGUGAAAGUUUGCAGCUUAACUGUAAAAUUGGCGUUGAAACUGUCGGACUUGAGUGUAAAUGAGGUAGGAGUAAUGCGUGGUGUAGCGGUGAAAUGCAUAGAUAUCACGCAGAACUCCGAUUGCGAAGGCAGCUUACUAAGCUACAACUGACACUGAAGCACGAAAGCGUGGGGAUCAAACAGGAUUAGAAACCCGAGUAGUCC
rnacentral:rRNA from 1 species